rnacentral:rRNA from 1 species
AUUGAACGCUGGCGGCAGGCCUAACACAUGCAAGUCGAACGAGUGGCGGACGGGUGAGUAAUGUCUGGGACACUGCCCGAUGGAUGGGGCUAACUACUGGAAACGGUAGCUAAUACCGCAUACCAUCGGAUGUGCCCAGAUGGGAUUAGCGAGUAGGUGGGGUAACGGCUCACCUAGGCGACGAUCCCUAGCUGGUCUGAGAGGAUGACCAGCAACACGGGAACUGAGAGACGGUCCAGACUCCUACGGGAGGCAGCAGUGGGGAAUAUUGCACAAUGGGCGAAAGCCUGAUGCAGCCAUGCCGCGUGUAUGAAGAAGGCCUUCGGGUUGUAAAGUACUUUCAGCGAGGAGGCGUUACUCGCAGAAGAAGCACCGGCUAACGCCGUGCCAGCAGCGGCGGUAAUAC